AGAAUGAUACUGGGAUAUUUGGCAUUGGAUUCUGCUGAAGAACCAUUCUGAUUGUCCCUGAAUUUUGACCUGUGAAAAUUCAAACAUGUGAUUUUUGUCUGAAAGAUUCUAUGGAAAAGUGAGGCAACUGAUCAGUUGCUACUUAAAGUUGUUCAUUCAUAUUACAGGUGUUCUCUUAUUCAUGUGAAGAUUAACUACAUUUCAAACAGCUGCAUAGCCAAAUUCUCCAGACAAUGAGGACUACCACCAGCCACGAUGCUCACAGCGUGCUCUCAGUCARCCUCGAAUCCGGGUUCAGCUCCCUGCAGCAGGUGCCUGAUUUGCACACAGUCCAGUGGAGAGCAGCAGGAUCCAAUCACAGCCUCGGGAUUGUGCAAUACUGCAUACGCACAAAGAUGGCACAUGGCGACUUCAGAUAGCCUGCACUCCCUGCUCACAAUCACAGAAUCAAUCAAAUUGGAAAAGACCUCUGAGAUCGUCGAGUCCAAACUAUUUGUUUGUUUUUCCAUAUUUGUUCAAAGUGUCAGCUGGGAAGUGGCUUCUGUUAUGCUCUUAAAAGAAGACAGURCCACACAGAUCACCAGUUCCUAACAAGUUUGCUGUACCAAUAGAAAAGAGGAGAUUUGGAGCAGAGAACAAUCACGUCAUGAACACUGUUGGCCAUUUCGGUGCAGCCUGGGAAGCUGACCCCACGCUUCCACGCAUUUAUGCUGUGUUUUGCMGAUGUUGGAGAAGCAGGAAGAGUGUUGGGCUGAGGGGAAGACAGCCAGGAGUCAGGAAACCUCACCAUUUUCUGUCUGAGCUGAACACYGAACCAGGAACCUCAAAGGAACCUAAACUCUGUGACUGCAACAUCCUGAUUUAAUGAUUCAACACAGUCUUCAUUUCAAUGACAACUUUAAAAGGGGAAAAAAAAGAAGCAGCUAAGAAGGCACCCGUUUUCAUGCAAGAGUACAACACCAAAGAGUGCAAGAAAAUAAAAUCCAAAGGCUUGCCAAAGACAUACAAGAAUUCAGGCAUGAGACCUGCAAUCAUCACAGAGAUCUGAAAUGACAAGAUAAGAAAUCCAGUUCUGACUGGCAGCUAUU